rnacentral:lncRNA from 1 species
CUGCAACAAAAUCAUGGCGUCUACGGUGGAUUGCAGUACUUGCGUAAAAAACACAACGAAAACCAAAGAGAAAAGCUGGGUCGACGACACCAUACCGCAACCAUCCCAAUGAUAGCGAGACACAUCCAAGCACAACAAAAGUCAACAAGGACCUACAACAGAAAACACACAAACAAACAAACAAAAGACAAGAUCCAGAUAGAUCUGGGCAAAAGGAUCCAAAAUUUAGACAAAUCUGAGGAGAGAAUAGGAGAGGAGAAGAAAACUAGAAAAUAAAAAAAGGAGGUGAGGAGAGAAAGAUGGAAGAUGGGGAAGCCACCCACCCCUACAGAGGCAAAGAAGUGGGUGUGUGGUGGUGUGUGGCGGCUGCAAAUCUUCAGAGAAAGUUUAGAGUUUUGAGAGAACCAAUAAUUAAAUUGGAUGGACUUGGCAACAAUAUUGACUUUCUAGAACCAAUAAUUAGAAAGUACCAAUCAAAUCCUUUGACUUUGCACAUCAAAGACAUAAAUAAAUGAGCUAUUUAGCUUUCAAGUUAUAAAGAAGCACAACUACAUGUACGUUUUUUACCCCGUGAAGUCAAGAAGUCAAUUAUUUUACCAAUAUUGAUGAAACUAAAAUAAUAUAAUUGCAAGAGGCUUC